UACGAAGGGUGCAAGCGUUAAUCGGAAUUACUGGGCGUAAAGCGCGCGUAGGUGGUUCAGUAAGUUGGAAGUGAAAUCCCCGGGCUCAACCUGGGAACUGCUUUCAAAACUGCUGAGCUAGAGUACGGUAGAGGGUGGUGGAAUUUCCUGUGUAGCGGUGAAAUGCGUAGAUAUAGGAAGGAACACCGGUGGCGAAGGCGACCACCUGGACUGAUACUGACACUGAGGUGCGAAAGCGUGGGGAGCAAACAGG
rnacentral:rRNA from 1 species